AAUCGGAAUGCGGAAAGAAGUAGAAGGACAACGGAAAAUAAUGAUAAGAUAAGAGCUCGCAUUUUAUUUUUACUUAUUCGGCACGAUAUUUCUGCUGCUGGACUCGUACGUCGGAGCAACGAAAUUGCCUCUCACGAGGAGUACGUAUAACGUUUGCCAUUACCAUCAAGUGUAUUUACCAGAGGAAGCGAUGGCAUUGCAGGCACGCGACAGAGGAAUGUCCUAUCUCUCGGAAGACAUCGUCGCGAAACAUCGCCGGAAGAACGUGAUUCAUUUCAUAGUUAACAAAUAGCUCGGCAAUAGCAAAAAAGUAACGUAACACGCAGCGGAUGAAGUAGUAUUCACUUCAAACACGGUCUUGUGGAAAUUCUUGGAAGUGUAAUGUUUGUGGGAGUCACAGUUGAAGAAGAAGUUCGCUCGAAUGCGCUGAACGGUGUAAAGACAAGUGGAAAAAUCGGUCGUGCGUAUCGUAUGGGUCUUCUCCGAGGGUGUGGAAUGCCAUUUAAACCGAGAUCUCGCCCGGGCCUUUUCAAAGGAUAAAAGCUGCGCGUCGAACGUAUUGUCCGACAAACAAAAUCACGACGAUUUGCACCGCGACAGCUACUUUGAUCGACGCACGGGCGAUAAUUUUAUGCUGAGAGUUGAAAUUUCCGUGCAACCUCAAUGAGAUCGCAUCUCGAUGCGAGAGAGAUUGUUGAAACUGAAUUGUAAUUUCGACGAGCUUAAAUUUCGAUGUCACAAACAUGCGAAACUCUCCAUAUUGAAGCUAUUUAUCGCGAUAG
rnacentral:lncRNA from 13 species